AGACNCGAUNCUGGGUCCGGNGUCUCGAAAUCACUAGUAACGGCCGCCAGUUGUGCUGGAAUUCGCCCUUGNAGUUUGAUCCUGGCUCAGAUUGAACGCUGGCGGCAUGCUUUACACAUGCAAGUCGAACGGCAACGAGAGAAGCUUGCUUCUUGGCGUCGAGUGGCGAACGGGUGAGUAAUACAUCAAUGCGUACCUUUUANUGGGGAAUAACGGCCUGAAAGGGUUGCUAAUACCGCAUAAUCCUUGGCGGGGAAAGCAGGGGACCGCAAGGCCUUGUGCUGAAANAGCGCGUGAUGCCUGAUUAGCUUGUUGGUAAGGUAAUGGCUUACCAAGGCUCCGAUCAGUAGCCGGUAUGAGAGUAUGGCCAGCCACACUGGGACUGAGACACGGCCCAGACUCCUACGGGAGGCAGCAGUGGGGAAUUUUGGACAAUGGGGGCAACCCUGAUCCAGCAAUGCCGCGUGUGUGAUGAAGGCCUUCGGGUUGUAAAGCACUUUUGUUGGGGAAGAAAAGUUGCAUGCUAAUAUCGUGCAAUAAUGACGGUACCUAAAGAAUAAGCACCGGCUAACUACGUGCCAGCAGCCGCGGUAAUACGUAGGGUGCGAGCGUUAAUCGGAAUUACUGGGCGUAAAGAGCGCGUAGGCGGUANCGUAAGACGGAUGUGAAAUACCAGGGCUUAACCUUGGUGCUGCGUUCGUAACUGCGCUUCUUGAGUGUCCUA
rnacentral:rRNA from 1 species